rnacentral:rRNA from 1 species
UGGCGGCGUGGAUAAGACAUGCAAGUCGAACGAGAGAAUUGCUAGCUUGCUAAUAAUUCUCUAGUGGCGCACGGGUGAGUAACACGUGAGUAACCUGCCCCCGAGAGCGGGAUAGCCCUGGGAAACUGGGAUUAAUACCGCAUAGUAUCGAAAGAUUAAAGCAGCAAUGCGCUUGGGGAUGGGCUCGCGGCCUAUUAGUUAGUUGGUGAGGUAACGGCUCACCAAGGCGAUGACGGGUAGCCGGUCUGAGAGGAUGUCCGGCCACACUGGAACUGAGACACGGUCCAGACACCUACGGGUGGCAGCAGUCGAGAAUCAUUCACAAUGGGGGAAACCCUGAUGGUGCGACGCCGCGUGGGGGAAUGAAGGUCUUCGGAUUGUAAACCCCUGUCAUGUGGGAGCAAAUUAAAAAGAUAGUACCACAAGAGGAAGAGACGGCUAACUCUGUGCCGGCAGCCGCGGUAAUACAGAGGUCUCAAGCGUUGUUCGGAAUCACUGGGCGUAAAGCGUGCGUAGGCUGUUUCGUAAGUCGUGUGUGAAAGGCGCGGGCUCAACCCGCGGACGGCACAUGAUACUGCGAGACUAGAGUAAUGGAGGGGGAACCGGAAUUCACGGUGUAGCA